ensembl:lncRNA
AGAAAUAAGUCGAAACCCCCACCCUCACCUGUUUGGGCAUACGCACAGAAACCACGCAGAAGAAACAGACUGGGAACGAGGCAGCCUGUGCUGUAGCGACGGUUAGGACAUCUCAGUGGAAACUCCAUGUCUAAAGCGGGGAAUUACAUGUCCUCUUUGCCACCCAGCUGUGGUGGGACUGAUGCCGGGACUUGUGCAAAGUCCCGAGAUUCAGCAGGACCAUGACCGCAGCAGAGUCCGCGUCCUCUUGAAAGGAAGGUUUCCCUGCAGUGCAGGCUCUCCUCUAAUGGGGAGGCCGUCAUGCGAGGUGGGGAGCGCACCGCCAUGGCAGUGCCCAGGCAGAGCUGGGGAUGCUAUAUCUGGGUGCUGUAACAGAGAGAGAGAGACAGGCCGGGCCAGAUGAUGGCCAACACCUGUCUGCUCUGAAGCUCGUCUGAUUUCAUUAUUAAUUCCCCUGGGAGUGGGUUGAAUAAUGUCCCCCCAAAUUCAUGCCCACCCAGACCGCAGAAUAGGUCCUUAUUUGGAAACAGUGUCUUUGCAGAUGCAAUUAUUGAAUAGUUAAGAUGAAGUUGUGCUGAGUUUGAGUGCGCCCUCAAUCCGAUGACUGAGAUCCUUAUAAGAAAGGGAAGAGGAUGCAGAGACAAACCCACAUGGAGACAGAGGCAGAGACUGGAGCAAUGCUGCCACAAGCCAAGGAUGCCAAGCACCAUCGGCCGCAACCAGAAGCCAGAAGGGAGGCCUGGCAUGAUUUCUCCCUGGAGCCUUUGAUACAGCAGGCUGAUACCUUUUCACCUUCAGUACUGUGAGAGAAUACAUCUCUGUUGUUUUGCAGCCGGUGGUUUUGUGUGAUGGGAGCCCCGGGAAGCUGACACACCCUUUUGCUUUCACCCUGGGUUGUCUCUGUGGAGCCUCGGAAAAGGGAAGAAGCUCUCUUGACUUCAUCAUUGUUUUAAAGACCUUCAAGUCUAAUGGAAAAUUCUUGUUAUUUUUCAUGAUGCCGCAUCCCCCACCUUUUCCUUUUAAAAGUAUUUUAUGCUCACAACCAACGUUGUACCAUCCACAAACAUGUUAUUGUGAGUGCGGUUUGGAUGAAACUGUAAAGAGAGAGCAUGUGCUUCCGUCUUGGCCUUGGGAGCACAAAGCCAAGCACAGCAGUGCCUGGGUGCUCCCAGCUCUGCUUCCUCCCUGCUCCUCCACCAGCUCUGGCCAUGCAUCCCUCUUUCCUUUCUCCUCCUGUCUCCAGUCUCUGAACCUGCUUAAUUCACCUCUGACUGAAGGUGAUGAAGACAGCGGAAUGGGAUCCAGAGAGAUACAAGCCCCGGAGCCCUACAGACUAGAAGCUCUUGCACGGCUGCCCCGCAUUUUGUGUGUGAGAAUCUUUUCUUAAAUUUAUUUUUAAUUGGAGGAUAAUUGCUUUACAUCGUGUUGGUUUCUGCCAUACAUCAACAAGAAUCAGCCAUAGACACACACAUGUCCCCUUCCUCUUAAACCUCCCUCCCAGCUCCUAUGCUGUCCCACCCCUCUAGGUUGUCACAGAUCCCCAGGCUGAGCUCUCUGCACUCUACAACUUCCUGUCAGCUCUCUGCUUUACACAUGGUCAUGUAUCUGAGCCACCAGGGAAGCCCAAUGUCUGUAUCUCAAUGCAACUCUCUCCGUUCAUCCCACCCUCUCCUUCCCCUGCUGUGUCUGGAAGUCUGUUCUCUCUGUCUGAGUCUCUCUUCCUGUCCUGCAAAUAGGUUCAUCAGUACCUUUUUCUAGGCUCCGUAUAUAUGUGUUCAUAUUUGUUUUUCUCUUUCUGACUUACUUCACUCUGUAUAACGCUCUAGGUUCAUCCACUUCAUAUAGUAGGACCUGCGGAACUUUCCCUACCGGGAGAUCACUAAGAUAAAGAGCACUUCUUCAGAGUAUCCUACCACGUCCUGGACUGUGGCCAAAGGAAAGCCCAGAUAUCCAGCAAUGGUGGUGGGGAAAUGAAAAUAUUUACAUAUUUAUAUGUAACACAAAUAUUGGAGUGUGUUUGUGUGUGUGUGCCUAUGUGUAGAGAGAGACAGAGACAGAGAGUGAAAUAUUUAUUCUUAGCAAGGAGGUUAUGACUGCAUUAAGUAACCUUCUCUGUUGGAUUAAAUGACCAGACAAGGAAGCCUGGUAAUAGAUGUAAAGUACACUCUCCGAUAGCCCACCAGCUGGUCAUAAAAGACCGACAGGGACAAAGAAGUCCCUUGUACUGUGUUUUCUUCAAACAUAUUACUGUUUUAGCGUCGUCUUAUGUGCAAGCUGAUUAACAUAGAGAGCUAGCCAUGACAUCCUUUCUGUUUGGGGCCACUUUGGGCUGCUACUCACAGAAGCCUGGGAGAAGAGAAGAGAAGAGAAGAGUCUUGGGGAUCACA